rnacentral:rRNA from 1 species
UACGAAGGGGGCUAGCGUUGUUCGGAAUUACUGGGCGUAAAGCGCGCGCAGGCGGUUCUUCAAGUCAGUGGUGAAAGCCCGGAGCUCAACUCCGGAACUGCCAUUGAAACUGUUGAACUUGAGGACGAGAGAGGUGAGUGGAAUUCCCAGUGUAGAGGUGAAAUUCGUAGAUAUUGGGAAGAACACCAGUGGCGAAGGCGGCUCACUGGCUCGUAUCUGACGCUCAGGCGCGAUAGCGUGGGGAUCAAACAGG